AGAGUUUGAUCCUGGCUCAGGAUGAACGCUGGCGGCGUGCCUAAUACAUGCAAGUCGAGCGAACGGACGAGAAGCUUGCUUCUCUGAUGUUAGCGGCGGACGGGGGAGUAACACGUGGAUAACCUACCUAUAAGACUGGGAUAACUUCGGGAAACCGUAGCUAAUACCGGAUAAUAUUUUGAACCGCAUGGUUCAAAAGUGAAAGACGGUCUUGCUGUCACUUAUAGAUGGAUCCGCGCUGCAUUAGCUAGUUGGUAAGGUAACGGCUUACCAAGGCAACGAUGCAUAGCCGACCUGAGAGGGUGAUCGGCCACACUGGAACUGAGACACGGUCCAGACUCCUACGGGAGGCAGCAGUAGGGAAUCUUCCGCAAUGGGCGAAAGCCUGACGGAGCAACGCCGCGUGAGUGAUGAAGGUCUUCGGAUCGUAAAACUCUGUUAUUAGGGAAGAACAUAUGUGUAAGUAACUGUGCACAUCUUGACGGUACCUAAUCAGAAAGCCACGGCUAACUACGUGCCAGCAGCCGCGGUAAUACGUAGGUGGCAAGCGUUAUCCGGAAUUAUUGGGCGUAAAGCGCGCGUAGGCGGUUUUUUAAGUCUGAUGUGAAAGCCCACGGCUCAACCGUGGAGGGUCAUUGGAAACUGGAAAACUUGAGUGCAGAAGAGGAAAGUGGAAUUCCAUGUGUAGCGGUGAAAUGCGCAGAGAUAUGGAGGAACACCAGUGGCGAAGGCGACUUUCUGGUCUGUAACUGACGCUGAUGUGCGAAAGCGUGGGGAUCAAACAGGAUUAGAUACCCUGGUAGUCCACGCCGUAAACGAUGAGUGCUAAGUGUUAGGGGGUUUCCGCCCCUUAGUGCUGCAGCUAACGCAUUAAGCACUCCGCCUGGGGAGUACGACCGCAAGGUUGAAACUCAAAGGAAUUGACGGGGACCCGCACAAGCGGUGGAGCAUGUGGUUUAAUUCGAAGCAACGCGAAGAACCUUACCAAAUCUUGACAUCCUUUGACAACUCUAGAGAUAGAGCCUUCCCCUUCGGGGGACAAAGUGACAGGUGGUGCAUGGUUGUCGUCAGCUCGUGUCGUGAGAUGUUGGGUUAAGUCCCGCAACGAGCGCAACCCUUAAGCUUAGUUGCCAUCAUUAAGUUGGGCACUCUAAGUUGACUGCCGGUGACAAACCGGAGGAAGGUGGGGAUGACGUCAAAUCAUCAUGCCCCUUAUGAUUUGGGCUACACACGUGCUACAAUGGACAAUACAAAGGGCAGCGAAACCGCGAGGUCAAGCAAAUCCCAUAAAGUUGUUCUCAGUUCGGAUUGUAGUCUGCAACUCGACUACAUGAAGCUGGAAUCGCUAGUAAUCGUAGAUCAGCAUGCUACGGUGAAUACGUUCCCGGGUCUUGUACACCCCGCCCGUCACACCACGAGAGUUUGUAACACCCGAAGCCGGUGGAGUAACCUUUUAGGAGCUAGCCGUCGAAGGUGGGACAAAUGAUUGGGGUGAAGUC
rnacentral:rRNA from 1 species